AGCGUAUAUUAAAGUUGUUGCAGUUAAAAAGCUCGUAGUUGAAUUUCGGGAUUAGUACGCUGGUCGUGCCUUCGGUACGUACUGGUGUUACUGAUUUCUACCUUCUGACGAACCAUCAUGUCAUUAAUUUGGUGUGGUGGGGAAUCAGGACUGUUACUUUGAAAAAAUUAGAGUGUUUAAAGCAGGCUCGCGCUUGAAUACAUUAGCAUGGAAUAAUGAAAUAGGACGUUGAUCCUAUUUUGUUGGUUUCUAGGAUUGACGUAAUGAUUAAUAGGGAUAGUUGGGGGCAUUAGUAUUCAAUUGUCAGAGGUGAAAUUCUUGGAUUUAUUGAAGACUAACUACUGCGAAAGCAUUUGCCAAGGAUGUUUUCAUUAAUCAAGAACGAAAGUUAGGGGAUCGAAGACGAUCAGAUACCGUCGUAGUCUUAACCAUAAAC
rnacentral:rRNA from 1 species